rnacentral:tRNA from 1 species
AAAAAGAUAAGCUAAUAAAGCUACUGGGCUCAUACUUCACUUAUAAGGGUUAAAUCCUUUUCUUUUUA